rnacentral:lncRNA from 1 species
AAGAAGGUUGGUGUUUGAAUUUGGAAAUAUUGAUGUGUUUUUGUGGCUUAAUGGCAAGCUCCCCUCUCUGUUUUGGUUCUGCCUAGCUUCCUUUUUUUUCUCUACUCUCCUCCUCUUCCUCAGUUUUUUUGCUUCCAAUUUAUAUACUUAAUUGAUGAAUCUUGCAUUGUUUUAUUUUUACUUUUUUCAUUUUUGUUUUAGGUUACACCAUUUUCUUAAACUCACAAUGAAGUAAAGUUCUAGAUGGAUUUGAAUUUCAGUAGAAAGACCACUAAUUGGGUGAGAAGAAAUUUAGUAUAACAUUUUUUUUUAUUUAUUUGAUCGAAAGGGAUUUUUACAAAGACAUGACUAUAAUAUAAUUGUUAAUGGUAUUUCAUGCAAUGAUUUGGUUAAUCUUUUUCCACUUAUUUUGUCGUAGAUAGAAUCGUCCUCCGGUUCUAUCUACGACAAACAAUUUUCAGGCAUCAUGUUGUUCAAGCAAUGGAUCCGUUGAAAUCACUCAAGAAAGGAUCAAAUCGUUAGAUCUAGAGGUUAGAAAAAUUGAAUUUGAAGAAUUGUUACUACUACAAUUGUCAUGCUUUUUCUCUCAUUAUUAUUCAUGAUUUCAUUCUAAUUUUUAUUAAAUUUAUUGUAACGCAUUAAACUUUCUAUUUACAGGUGGAGAGAGCACAAGUUGAAACGUCGACGUGUAAUUACCGUGAAGAAAAAAUACGGAG